GACGAACGCUGGCGGCGUGCUUAACACAUGCAAGUCGAACGGACAGGCCCUGCUUUUGUUGCGUGCUCGAGAGGCGAACGGGUGUGUAACACGUGAGUAACCUCCCCUUGACUUUGGGAUAACUUCAGGAAACUGGGGCUCAUACCCGAUAGGAGCUCUUGCUGCAUGGUGGGGGUUGGAAAGUUUCGGCGGUUGGGGAUGGACUCGCGGCUUAUCAGCUUGUUGGUGGCGUUGUGGCUUACCAAGGCUUUGACGGGUAGCCGGCCUGUGAGGGUAACCAGCUACAUUGAGCCUUAGAUACGGCCCAGACUCGUAUGGGAGGCAGCGGUUGGAAAUAUAGCAGAAUAGGCGCAAGCCUGAUGUAACGACGCCGCGUGCGGGAUGACCGCCUUGGGGUUGAAAACCGAUUUCUCCUGUCACGGGGCGUGAGUGACGGUAAUGGGUAAAGAAGCAACGGCUAACUACGUG
rnacentral:rRNA from 1 species